rnacentral:rRNA from 1 species
AGAGUUUGAUCCUGGCUCAGGAUGAACGCCGGCGGUGUGCCUAAUACAUGCAAGUCGUACGCACUGGCCCAACUGAUUGAUGGUGCUUGCACCGGAUUGACGAUGGAUCACCAGUGAAUGGCGGACGGGUGAGUAACACGUAGGUAACCUGCCCCGGAGCGGGGGAUAACAUUUGGAAACAGAUGCUAAUACCGCAUAACAACAAAAGCCACAUGGCUUUUGUUUGAAAGAUGGCUUUGGCUAUCACUCUGGGAUGGACCUGCGGUGCAUUAGCUAGUUGGUAAGGUAACGGCUUACCAAGGCGACGAUCAGUAGCCGGCCUGAGAGGGUGAACGGCCACAUUGGGACUGAGACACGGCCCAAACUCCUACGGGAGGCAGCAGUGGGGAAUAUUGCACAAUGGGGGAAACCCUGAUGCAGCGACGCCGCGUGAGUGAAGAAGUAUUUCGGUAUGUAAAGCUCUAUCAGCAGGGAAGAAAAAAGACGGUACCUGACUAAGAAGCCCCGGCUAACUACGUGCCAGCAGCCGCGGUAAUACGUAGGGGGCAAGCGUUAUCCGGAUUUACUGGGUGUAAAGGGAGCGUAGACGGCAGCGCAAGUCUGGAGUGAAAUGCCGGGGCCCAACCCCGGAACUGCUUUGGAAACUGUGCAGCUUGAGUGCGGGAGAGGUAAGUGGAAUUCCUAGUGUAGCGGUGAAAUGCAUAGAUAUUAGGAGGAACACCAGUGGCGAAGGCGGCUUACUGGACCGUAACUGACGUUGAGGCUCGAAAGCGUGUGGAGCAAACAGGAUUAGGUACCCUGGUAGUCCACGCCGUAAACGAUGAUUACUGGGUGUCGGGGGACCAAGGUCCUCCCGGUGCCGGCGCAAACGCAUUAAGUAAUCCACCUGGGGAGUACGUUCGCAAGAAUGAAACUCAAAGGAAUUGACGGGGACCCGCACAAGCGGUGGAGCAUGUGGUUUAAUCCGAAGCAACGCGAAGAGCCUUACCCGGCCUUGACAUCCCGAUGAAUGUACAGUAAUGUGUACAGGACUUCGGUACAUCGGAGACAGGUGGUGCAUGGUUGUCGUCAGCUCGUGUCGUGAGAUGUUGGGUUAAGUCCCGCAACGAGCGCAACCCCUGCCCUCAGUAGCCAGCAGGUAAAGCUGGGAACUCUGAGGGGACUGCCCGGGAUAACCGGGAGGAAGGCGGGGAUGACGUCAAAUCAUCAUGCCCCUUAUGGCCGGGGCUACACACGUGCUACAAUGGCGGAAACAGAGGGAGGCAGCCCCGUGAGGGUGAGCGAACCCCAAAAAUACCGCCUCAGUUCGGAUUGUAGUCUGCAACCCGACUACAUGAAGCCGGAAUCGCUAGUAAUCGCGAAUCAGAAUGUCGCGGUGAAUACGAACCCGGGUCUUGCACUCACCGCCCGUCA